rnacentral:rRNA from 1 species
UACGUAGGGUGCAAGCGUUGUCCGGAAUUAUUGGGCGUAAAGAGCUCGUAGGCGGUUUGUUGCGUCGGCUGUGAAAACCUGAGGCUCAACCUCAGGCCUGCAGUCGAUACGAGCAGACUAGAGUGUUGCAGGGGAGACUGGAAUUCCUGGUGUAGCGGUGAAAUGCGCAGAUAUCAGGAGGAACACCGGUGGCGAAGGCGGCAUCCUGGACCGGCAUUGACGCUGAGGCGCGAAAGCCAGGGGAGCAAACGGG